GGCAACAUGUUGAGGGGUAGUGAGAGGCAAUUAGUGGCUAGUAUGUCACUUUACCGAGGAGAGGCACAGAGGAGGACUGGGAGUCGAGUCCAACUUACGAAUUGUGACAGCUGCUCACGGUGCACUUUUCGGGAAUAUUUGACGUGCUAUCUUUUCAGAAAUAUGUAUUUUAUCAAUAGGUUUAGACGCUGUUUCAUAGUUUCUGCGUGAAAUAGUUUGGAUUUAUUGGAGUUUGGGGUUAAACGGCAGCCUUUCUGUAACCCUUUGAUCAAGCGACCGCUGAGGACAUUUUUUAAUCAGAACCGUUUUUGUCAUAGAUAGGCCUUAUGUAGCCCUGAAAGCCGUAUUCAUUACCAGCUUGCUUCAUCAGGUUACACUUGACCAGUGGCAUACGUGACGAUGCGCUCGCCUCACCCUUACUGAAAGAAGAAGAAAGCGAGUGACAACGUUGCAAUUUCUCGGGAAAUCUAAAGUUGACUCGAGUUGGAGGAUCAUUAUCAUCAUAUCUCCCCUGAAUCUCUGGACUGGUGGAUUUCUGUUGCAUUGCUAAAUCACACACCUGGUCGUCUGACAGGCACCGCAAAAUGAAACUUUCGUUUGUCAUCCAGAUUGCGGUGGUGCUUCAACUUCAGUUUUCACCUGCACAGUGCUCUCACUUAACCAGCACAAACAGCACAAGUGAAGUGAUAAUGUUCCAAGAAGUGUGGGGGCGGAGCUUCUGUCGGACCAUUGAGAAGCUGGUGGAGGUGGUUCUGGAGUACCCCGGGGAGGUGGAGCAUAUCUUCAGCCCUUCCUGCGUCCCCCUCGUUCGCUGCGCUGGUUGCUGUGGCGAUGAGAACCUAGAGUGUCAUCCUACACAGUCUUCCAAUGUUACCAUGCAGCUGUUGAAAAUCAAGCCUGCCGAGCAGGGCCAAGAAUAUGUCGAGAUGACAUUUGUGGAGCACCAGACAUGUGAAUGUAGAAUCAGGAAAACAAUGGGAAAAAGUGAAAGGAAAAGACAACGAGGAAGAGGAAGGAAAAGGAAGGAGAGACAGAGAGUGAAGGACUGUGACAGGUGACCAGCAUCUUCAUGUGUUACAGUCAACUGAGCAGGAUUAUUAACACCCCUGCUGUCAGCCCCCUCGUAGGUAACUGAAGCAGCAGCAGCCCUGCCCUGUCAAACCCGGCCCCCUAUUUAUUAUCCGCCCAGUGCUAUCAGCUUCAAGAGCCUUCUGAGUACAUCCCCCGUGUGCCCUCACUGCACCCAGAGACUCGCUGCUGGGCGUCACGGUGACAGCUCCCGUGGUUACCGGGGUGCACCUCCUGACUAAAGCAGCUGCUAGGUAAAACCCACCGUGACACAUUUGACGCAAGUUAAAUUCCUCUUCUAGAGACCUGUGUAAUGGCGGACCAUAAGGACAAGACGUCAUGCGAUCCUUCUCAAGUACAAGUUCAAGUUGUUAUGUAUUUUGGGCUAUUUCUCUUUAUUACCGUAUUACAUGAUUAUUAUUAUUAUUAUUAUUGGCUAAUGUUGUUUUUCAUCACUGUGGUUGAUUAAGCGGGUUUCUCCCUUUUGUAAUGAAUAUUUAUUUAUGCUUUUUUUCUUUCAUCAAAUCAAAGUACAUAUUUCUAUCUUGUUUUUGACUAAACUCGGAACAGGUUUCCGUUGCUUCAUUACAACUUAAGGACCAAAAGAACUUCCUUGACCUCCAUUUCGACAGUAUCUCAUCUUACUCAAGAUCAGGGGGCGGUUCCGGGGAGGGGGGCAGGGGGGGGGGCAGUGCCCCUGUGACAACAACCUUGUACCCCCCUUGUGUCCCCCUAAAUGUAGAGUCUGAAUAAUGAUAAACAUGGUCUUGCCUGUUAAUGCCUGCAUUGCAGUGAAGAAAACUAUACCACAACAGCCAUGUUUAAUGUAACUGCCCCCCCUAACAGUGCAACUGACCCCACCUUGCCCCCCCCCCCCCCCCCCCCCAUGCGAAGGACAGUACUGAGGUCAGUACGAAACUAUAUUUCUCUUGUGGUUUAAUUUGGCAUUGGGACCAUCAAUGCAGUUUUGACCAGAGAGAACUGUAGUGGAAGGUAUAUUGUAUUUGUGGUGAAACAGUAAUGUCAAUUAAAUGUUUGUGUGACAAUGUUUUUAAAUAUCUGAAAGAAAAUAAACUAAUUUACAAUCAAUGCAAACCAUUGUGUUGAGAAAUGAUCUGAUAUCUGCAGUAUUUCUGAGACGUGUUUUGUUAAUUUCUAGAACAGCUAAACCAAAGAAUAAAAUAAUACUGCUACCCAUAGCUUUCUAAUGCAACUUUUCUUUCUGUUAAAUUGCAUCUCAAUGUCUUUAAGAAACACUACUUUUCAACUGGAUAACAAUCCAUAUCCAGAAGGGAGUCAGGUGGCUGAGCAGUUAAGGAAUUGGGCUAGUAAUCUGAAGGUUGCCAGUUCGAUUCCUGACCGUGCCAAAUUACGUUGUGUCCUUGGGCAAGGCACUUCACCCUACUUGCCUCGGGGGAAUGUCCCUGUACUUACUGUAAGUCUCUCUGGAUAAGAGCGUCUGCUAAAUGACAAAAUGUAAAUAUCCACUACUAAUUAGUUGAAAAUGGCUCACUCUGUCCUGCCACUUUGAUGGUUGUAGAGGUUUCUCCCAUCCCUACUUCUUACUCACAAGGACGUUGUUUAUGAUGCAUUUGUGAUUAGUGACCCAGUACCGUGGGUUAUGGGCCAACCAAUGCAGAGAUCAUGGACUGACUAGAAUUCUGUUGAGCCUGUAGGAGUUGCUGUUCCAGUGGUUGAGGAUUUGUGCUUAUCCCUUGUGUUAUCUUCGGGUCAUUCUGACCCAUCAGUCAUUGUGACCCACCGUCGUAUUGCGACAACUUUACCGCAUACAAAAACAAAGUGAAGCAUUUUCUUUUAACCGUCGGGUUGUCUCAGACCCCCCACAUUGCAAAGGUUAAAAGAAAAUUAUUUUUAUUUGUUUUUGUAUUGGGUAAAAUUGGGUAAACACAACGAUGGUUCGUUAUGAACCUUUGGGUCAUGUGACCCGAAGGCAGCACAAGGGUUAACUUGAAGGCCUAUUUAGGAUUAAUAUGUUCAGUAUCAUCAGUUUGACCGUGAACAAAAUUGCUCAGAGAAGGAAAAGCAUGGACUAACUCAAAACGAAUUACAGUGCUGUAUGUGAUGUUUUAAUCAAUUAUAAUACAGAAAUGUUAAAACUUGUGUGUUUAUUGUAUAUAGAUAAAAAUAACUGACAAAAAAUAAAGAGAUAUAUCAUUG